CACGUAGGAGGCAAACGUUAUCCGGAUUUACUGGGCGUAAAGCGCGUGUAGGUGGUUCUGUAAGUAGGGCGUGAAAGCUCCCGGCUCAACUGGGAGAGGCCGUUCUAAACUGCAGAGCUAGAGGAUGGUAGAGGGAGGUGGAAUUCCAGGUGUAGCGGUGGAAUGCGCAGAUAUCUGGAGGAACACCAGUGGCGAAGGCGGCCUCCUGGACCAUUCCUGACACUCAGACGCGAAAGCUAGGGUAGCAAACAGGAUUAGAUACCCCGUACGU
rnacentral:rRNA from 1 species